GUGCAUGUAAAACCAAGAGCUGUGGCUCAGUGAAAUAGCCACAGGAUCUCCAACUACAUGCAAGAACAAGGAGGAGAGACUUUGGCAGCUAAGCCCUGUGUGCUGAUGGCUGUCACUCGCCUCUCCUAUAAGC
ensembl:snoRNA